rnacentral:rRNA from 1 species
AUUGAACGCUGGCGGAAUGCUUUACACAUGCAAGUCGAACGGCAGCACGGACUUCGGUCUGGUGGCGAGUGGCGAACGGGUGAGUAACAUAUCGGAACGUAUCCAAUAAUGGGGGAUAACGAGUCGACAGAUUCGCUAAUACCGCAUACGCUCUACGGGGGAACGCUAGGGACCUUCGGGCAUGGCGUUGAUGGAGAGGCCGAUAUCUGAUGAGCUAGUUGGUGAGGUAAAGGCUCACCAAGGCGACGAUCAGUAGCUGGUCUGAGAGGACGAACAGCCACUCGGGAACUGAGACACGGUCCAGACUCCUACGGGAGGCAGCAGUGGGGAAUUUUGGACAAUGGGCGAAAGCCUGAUCCAGCCAUUCCGCGUGAGUGAAGAAGGCCUUCGGGUUGUAAAGCUCUUUCGCAAGGGAAGAAAACUUAUCCUCUAACAUAGGAUGAGGUUGACGGUACCUUGAUAAGAAGCACCGGCUAACUACGUGCCAGCAGCCGCCGUAA